UGAGUGACAGCAAUUAGGACCACGGCU
rnacentral:piRNA from 1 species